rnacentral:rRNA from 1 species
GUACACUCCUACGGGAGGCAGCAGUGGGGAAUAUUGGACAAUGGGCGCAAGCCUGAUCCAGCCAUGCCGCGUGAGUGAUGAAGGCCCUAGGGUUGUAAAGCUCUUUCACCGGUGAAGAUAAUGACGGUAACCGGAGAAGAAGCCCCGGCUAACUUCGUGCCAGCAGCCGCGGUAAUACGAAGGGGGCUAGCGUUGUUCGGAUUUACUGGGCGUAAAGCGCACGUAGGCGGACUAUUAAGUCAGGGGUGAAAUCCCGGGGCUCAACCCCGGAACUGCCUUUGAUACUGGUAGUCUUGAGUUCGAGAGAGGUGAGUGGAAUUCCGAGUGCAGAGGUGAAAUUCGUAGAUAUUCGGAGGAACACCAGUGGCGAAGGCGGCUCACUGGCUCGAUACUGACGCUGAGGUGCGAAAGCGUGGGGAGCAAACAGGAUUAGAUACCCCUGUAGUCCC